rnacentral:rRNA from 1 species
AUUGAACGCUGGCGGCAUGCUUUACACAUGCAAGUCGAACGGCAGCGCGGGCUUCGGCCUGGCGGCGAGUGGCGAACGGGUGAGUAAUACAUCGGAACGUGCCCAGUAGUGGGGGAUAGCUCGGCGAAAGCCGGAUUAAUACCGCAUACGACCUGAGGGUGAAAGCGGGGGAUCUUCGGACCUCGCGCUAUUGGAGCGUCCGAUGGCAGAUUAGCUAGUUGGUGGGGUAAAGGCCUACCAAGGCGACGAUCUGUAGCUGGUCUGAGAGGACGACCAGCCACACUGGGACUGAGACACGGCCCAGACUCCUACGGGAGGCAGCAGUGGGGAAUUUUGGACAAUGGGCGAAAGCCUGAUCCAGCAAUGCCGCGUGUGUGAUGAAGGCCUUCGGGUUGUAAAGCACUUUUGGCGGGAACGAAAAGGACUGUGCCAAUACCACGGUUCGAUGACGGUACCCGAAGAAUAAGCACCGGCUAACUACGUG